AGAUCAUCACUGGGUAUAAAGGGUGCGCAGGCGGUUUUGUAAGACAGAGGUGAAAUCCCCGGGCUCAACCUGGGAACUGCCUUUGUGACUGCAAGGCUGGAGUGCGGCAGAGGGGGAGUGGAAUUCCGCGUGUAGCAGUGAAAUGCGUAGAUAUGCGGAGGAACACCGAUGGCGAAGGCAAUCCCCUGGGCCUGCACGGACGCUCAUGCACGAAAGCGUGGGGAGCAAACA
rnacentral:rRNA from 1 species